rnacentral:tRNA from 1 species
ACUCAAAUUUAUCAUCAGAAUCCUCUGUAUUGGAGUUAGGUGGCCAGCAGAAAAAUGGGAACUAUUAAAAUCA